UAUAGGUUUGGUCCUGGCCUUCCUGUUGUCUUUUAACAAACUUACACAUGCAAGUAUCCUCGUUCCAGUGAGAAUGCCCUCCAGGCCAACAAGACUAAGAGGAGCGGGUAUCAAGCACACACUCGUAGCUCACGACACCUUGCUUAACCACACCCCCACGGGACACAGCAGUGACAAAAAUUAAGCCAUAAACGAAAGUUUGACUAAGUUAUGUUAAUUAGGGUUGGUAAAUUUCGUGCCAGCCACCGCGGUCAUACGAUUAACCCAAGCUAACGGGAAUACGGCGUAAAACGUGUUUAAGCACUACACCAAAUAGAGUUAAAUUUUAAUUAAGCCGUAAAAAGCCAUAAUUAUUGUAAAAUAAAUAACGAAAGUGACUCUACAACAGCUGACACACCAUAGCUAAGACCCAAACUGGGAUUAGAUACCCCACUAUGCUUAGCCCUAAACACAAAUAAUUGUAUAAACAAAAUUAUUCGCCAGAGUACUACUAGCAAUAGCUUAAAACUCAAAGGACUUGGCGGUGCUUCAUACCCCUCUAGAGGAGCCUGUUCUAUAAUCGAUAAACCCCGAUAAACCUCACCAAUUCUUGCCAACACAGUCUAUAUACCGCCAUCUUCAGCAAACCCUAAAAAGGAACAAAAGUAAGCGCAAUCAUAGUACAUAAAAAAGUUAGGUCAAGGUGUAACCUAUGAAAUGGGAAGAAAUGGGCUACAUUUUCUUAAAUCAAGAAAACUAAUACACGAAAGCUAUUAUGAAAUUAAUAGCCAAAGGAGGAUUUAGUAGUAAACUAAGAAUAGAGUGCUUAGUUGAACCAGGCCAUGAAGCACGCACACACCGCCCGUCACCCUCCUCAAACAAAUACUAAUGCCCCAAAAUUUAUUUGCACACAUUAACCAUGAGAGAGGAGAUAAGUCGUAACAAGGUAAGCAUACUGGAAAGUGUGCUUGGAUAAAU
rnacentral:ncRNA from 1 species